UAUAUAGUUGUAUGAUCACAAUAUUCCAAUUUCUUGAUCUUGUCUAGUUGGGGCUUGUAUUUGAAACCGCUGCAUGAUAGAUGUGCCUCGCUAGUUAGAGACCGCAAAGAGAUAAUAGAGAGAGGGUGGGAUUUAUCAAAGAGAGAUUGGGCCACAGUUUGUUUGCAAUCACUGAACUGAGCUAGUUUUGAGGUGGGGUGGGUGCCUGUGACAUUAUCAUGUGAGAUGGUCUCCGAGGUCUGAACAGAGUCUUCCAGCACAUGAGUUGUUUAGCUAGUGCCGGCCAAAAUAUAUACUGAUCACCCGCCUGUAAAUCUUGACAGGCCUGCAGGGGAGGAGGUCACUGUCGCUGUACAAUGGAUCUUCUAAAUCAAAACAGCAAGAGAUAGGUUCACGAUGCGGGCACCUAAUCUUGUGAUUUUAGCAUAUACACAUUCCCCUCUUCUUCGAUCUAUAAGGAGGGUUUGCUUUCGUUUCCUUGUCAUAUGAUGUGACCCUAUUUGACCUUGAAAAGCCAAUUGACAUAAAUAUUGCACAUGGGUUCAGGGAUCAAUCAGGCAGCAGUUCUAUAAAUCUCUGGCGGAUCAUCGUCUAAGCUAUAAAUGGUUGAAAAUGAAUGCCAUGUCUAAGAUAAGGAGGAUCUAGUACCGAAAAUCUAGAGCAAUCUUGCGGUCAAACCACCAGGGAUACUGUACGCAGGUGCCUCUCCAUUUUAUUUAUUUCGUCCCUACGCUGUAAUAAGAUGAUGAAGUAAGUUCCCUAAUUUCUCUCUAAAGCGCAGUAUUCUAGUUGUAAUGUAGCGUAAUGUUGCAGAGCAAUCAUUGUAGCCGAGCUUGUACUUGCUCCAUAAAUGAAAGCAAUCUUGGGUACUCGCAGUCUGGUGUUUUGGUCCAUGCAUGAUGAACCGAAAAGAAUAUGAAUGGGUUCACGAGCAAUGUGCAUUAACUUUUGUGGGCUUUACUUACUGUUUAGACAAUCGGAAGGUGCAAGAUUUUCGUGUUGCUCAUUCCAUGCCUGUCCUCCAGAUAGGGUGAAUUAGCACAGGUGUACAUGAAAAAAAAAAUUCUUAUUCAACAUCAAAAGGACUAUAUAUGAUAUGUCCCGUCGCAAAACUCAAACGAUGGUAUGCUUGAAGUGAAAACAGCCUUCUGUGUUGUUAAUUUAACACAUUUCUUUCAAUUGAGAAUAGUUAUCUAGCUCGAAAUGUGAACGUAAGUAGCAGUUCAAACA